UCACUGUUUGGUAUGAGAGUAAUUUAAUACGGUCCAAAAGGACGACCAUCCCCGCUAGAGGAGGGCCAGUCUUUGGUCAAGGGUAUACGAGUAGCUGCGCUCCCCUGCUAGAACUUCCAAACAAGCUCUCAAGAGAGUAAUUUUAUUUAGGCAAGUAACUAAAAC
rnacentral:sRNA from 1 species